rnacentral:rRNA from 1 species
UACGUAGGGUUCAAGCGUUAUCCGGAUUCACUGGGUUUAAAGGGUGCGUAGGCGGGUAAGUAAGUCCGUGGUGAAAUCUCUGAGCUUAACUCAGAAACUGCCGUGGAUACUAUUUGCCUUGAAUAUUGUGGAGGUGAGCGGAAUAUGUCAUGUAGCGGUGAAAUGCUUAGAUAUGACAUAGAACACCAAUUGCGAAGGCAGCUCACUACACAAUCAUUGACGCUGAGGCACGAAAGCGUGGGGAUCAAACAGG